rnacentral:rRNA from 2 species
CUUUAUUGGAGAGUUUGAUCCUGGCUCAGGAUGAACGCUGGCGGCGUGCCUAAUACAUGCAAGUCGAGCGAAUGGAUUAAGAGCUUGCUCUUAUGAAGUUAGCGGCGGACGGGUGAGUAACACGUGGGUAACCUGCCCAUAAGACUGGGAUAACUCCGGGAAA